UACGUAGGGGGCUAGCGUUGUCCGGAAUCAUUGGGCGUAAAGCGCGCGUAGGCGGCCCGGUAAGUCCGCUGUAAAAGUCCAGGGCUCAACCCUGGAACGCCGGUGGAUACUGUCGGGCUAGAGUCCGGAAGAGGCGAGUGGAAUUCCUGGUGUAGCGGUGGAAUGCGCAGGAUAUCAGGAGGAACACCGAUGGCGAAGGCAGCUCGCUGGGACGUACUGAGCUGAGGCGCGAAAGCGUGGGGAGCGAACAGG
rnacentral:rRNA from 1 species